UACGUAGGGUGCAAGCGUUGUCCGGAAUUAUUGGGCGUAAAGAGCUCGUAGGCGGUCUGUCGCGUCGGCUGUGAAAACCCGAGGCUCAACCUCGGGCCUGCAGUCGAUACGGGCAAACUAGAGUACUGCAGGGGAGACUGGAAUUCCUGGUGUAGCGGUGAAAUGCGCAGAUAUCAGGAGGAACACCGGUGGCGAAGGCGGGUCUCUGGGCAGUAACUGACGCUGAGGAGCGAAAGCGUGGGGAGCGAACAGG
rnacentral:ncRNA from 2 species